GUGAACAGGUGCUGCUCAUCAGCAGUCACAUAAAGGUGGAGAUGUUCAGCCAUCACUACUCACCUCAGUACAUAACCAGAUGCCAACUACUACACUUCGCCGGACUGUCGAACGACCUCAUUUGGACCUCCACCUGCUUUCCACCACCCUCCGGAACCUCCGUCUGUCUGUUCCCAUUUGUGUCAUCUGGAUCAUCAAGACUUUCACUACUCCCUGGCUAUCUGCACCUGUCGCCAUUCCUGCCACAUGCCACCUCUGCCUGCCUUCCCCACUCUGUUUUCUGUCAGUCCUCAUUUAAGUUCCCGGCUUGACCGCUGCAUCCAGUUCAGUCAGUUUGUUUAGCGUAACUCUGGGUUUAGUCUGUUUUUGUAGCUUAGCCAUCUGUUUAGGUUUGCGUUCUCGGCGUUUACUCUGCCACCCAUUUUGUAUUUAGGAAGUAUUUUCCGAGCAUUUGAUCUCUGUCUAGUUUAGCCGUUUUGGCUUCCAGUCCUGUCUUUAGCUUCAGAGUUAUUCCUUGACUAGCUUUCCUGUCCCUAGUCAUACCUGGUGUAGGUUAGUAGAAUUCAUGUUUUUACUAGCAGUUUGGCCUUAGUAAUUCUGUUUACCCCUAGAGGUCCCCCUUGUUUACUGAAUCCUGUGCCUGAUUCUGCAUUACUGUUUCUGUGAAUCGUUGUAAAUGAGUCAUUGUAAAUAUCAACUUGCCUGUUGUAUCUUCGUUGCCUGCACUUAGGUCUCUGCUCAGCCACAUAAAGUGAAUAAAAUAUUCAUUGGCUUAGAAACAAGGAAUACCGCUUUAUUUAAUAUUGUUUCAAUGAAUACAUACAUG
ensembl:lncRNA